UACGUAGGGUGCGAGCGUUAAUCGGAAUUACUGGGCGUAAAGUGUGCGCAGGCGGCCGCGCAAGUCGAGUGUGAAAGCCCCGAGCUUAACUUGGGAAUUGCGCUCGAAACUACGUGGCUGGAGUGUGGCAGAGGAAGGUGGAAUUCCACGUGUAGCGGUGAAAUGCGUAGAGAUGUGGAGGAACACCGAUGGCGAAGGCAGCCUUCUGGGCCAACACUGACGCUCAUGCACGAAAGCUAGGGGAGCGAACAGG
rnacentral:rRNA from 1 species